rnacentral:lncRNA from 1 species
UUCUUUCGAGAGCUAGAUCUUAAGUUACCUAGCCUGUGUCUAUAGACCUUAGCACGAUACCCUACACUGUUUUGUCUUUAUUCUAUACAAACACUACUCUAUGUCUAGAGUCUGUUGCAAGUACUUAGUUGAAUACCCGCUUGUAUCAUUCAAUUCCAGUCCAGCUAAUCUAACUUUUUCUGAAUUAGAUUCAAUUUAUGGGCAUACUGCACACUCAUCUAUGCCUAGAGAAUGUACG